GCUACUUUAUAUGUGCAGCCCACAAUUCCCUUUUUAUUUCAUCUCUUGGUUAUCGGCCCACUUAUCCAAAACCGUCCAAACAAUUAAUUUCCCUAUUAUAUGUAGUUAUGUUCGUAUUUCUUGCUUGUGCACAACAAAUCCUCAAACCCUAAAAGAAAAAAUACGGUUCCUUCUGCCUCCCUUCUGUGUACGCAUACAAGGCACAAGCAAUCCCAAGUUCGUUCGGUUUUCAAGCUCUAGCGAUCCAUCACUCUUUCUAAACUCGGUCGUUAGGUACAUGGCUGGAGCUUGCACAAAGGGAUGGUCGUUGUGGCAGGGAACCAUUUGUUGGAUUCUCAUUGAACAUUAUGAACUUAACAAUUUAUUGGGUUUUUAACUUUAUGCUUCCGUUGACACUUAAACUUGGUUUUGGAUAUUUGUUUUCAUAAACACUAAUCGUAUUGAUUGUGAUGGACUUUAUUUACUUUUA